GGAGGACCUACAGAAGACCCCAAAAGAAAGUGGACGUGCCGAAGAGAAAGUUAGAGCCUAUCACAGUUGCUGAAACUUGGAAGGAUGGCCCUUAUGUCUUCAUCCUCAGCAUCACGAACCCCUUGCCCAACUGGGAGGUCUCAAGGACUUCAAUUGUGGGAGACGCUUCACUUCCAACUGUUCAGUCCCUCUACCGAGUCUUCUUCGGUCUUGAGUUCUCCUGCACU
rnacentral:lncRNA from 1 species